GAGUAGAGGUCGUGCCACUGCACUCCAGCCUGGGUGACAGAGCAAGAUUGUCAAAAAAAAAAUUCCUAUGUUCGGGCUGACUAAAACCAUACAGAAUGACAACAGGCCAGCUUUUAUAUCUUAAAUUAUGCAAAAGUUAGUCCAAGGCCUAGAAAUCCCCUGAAAACUUCACACAGCUUAGAGAUCCCAGUCCUCAGCAGAAAUGGAAAGAGUCAACUAAAGCUUAAAGAGAAUGUUGGCUAAACUGUGCUGGCAAACAGGAAAACUGGCUUCCUCUUUUACCACAGGUCUUCUUAGAAUAAGGACUGCACCCCCCAAAAUAAUUUUAACUGAGUGCAUUUUAACUCGGUGUUCAGUGUAUGGGUGAUCAAUCCCAGAGGCAACCACAGGGAAGUGGCUGAGUCUACAGGAACUGGAACAACUAAAAUAUGCAUUACAUAUUAGGAACGUGGCCCGUGUUCUUGCAGCUUAUAGAAACCAGGAUUCUCCAUCACCGACAGACCUGGUUCUGCAUCCUUAUGUCCAUCGAAUCUGGGUAUAUCUGAAAAUCUGGAAGGUUCAAAGUCCAGAGAGGCAAUUAGGUCCAAAAUGAAUGGGGCCAUACGUGGUGAUUCUGACAACACAUUCUGCCUUAAAGCUUCAGGGAGUCACCCCAUAGCUUCAUCACACACGAGUGAAAUGAGUGGGUGCACCAGUGCAGGAAACUCCCUUGUACCAGGCUGAACUCAUCUCAGAUUUAAAAUUGCUGUUCUGAAAACCCAACCUGACUCCCAAAAAGAUAAGUAUAGGAUACUCUGACCCAUCUAAAGGGUCACUGCUGUAACACUUAAAUAUCUCUACCCGCCAAGAGUGUUCUUGAUGGCACUUUUGGGCUGUCUGAUCGCAUUAGGGCUUGUCCUGUCAUCCUCAAAGCUGGCCUCUGGCUUAGGGAUGUUUCCUUUUAUUCCAGAUAAUCUUGAUCACUGUAUUCCUGACUUGUGGCCCUCCUGGUAUCUUGAUAGAAAACGACAGAUACCUUAACUACACACCUUCAGGACUCCCUGAUAGUCCCACAGUGUUUCCUUGAACUAUCUGCCCUCUGCCUCCUCAUCUCUUAGCCACCUCAGAAUACUUAAGCUAGGUAAGUAAAAAUUUACUCUCACUUUUUUCUUAUACCACUUGGUCCUUUUAGUCCUCAGCAUCCAAGGGUCUCUGGGACACCAACACAACAGUCCAAUUUUCCUGUAUUCUAUAGCCAGUGAGAACAAUCUGUCUGAAUGCUAUAUAAGCCAUAGGCACCCCAAGACUCGGGAAACAGGGCCCAGUGUGUACCUUCGGGAAGGUGGUUUCAACCUCACAAAGCUGCCAUGCAAAUCUAACCACCCACACCUAUUGCUGUCUACCUGAGAAAUUCUCAGUAUAGGAGUUGCAUGGAUCCUGCUCCUAAAAUCAACUACUUUUGUAGUCUAGCACCCACCUCAGGAAAUGAAAAAUAUUGUUGACUCUACUAUGCACCCCUCCUCCAGCAAUAUUUCCAGCUCCAAUAAGGAAUAUAAAUUUCACCUGAACUCAAAGAGAGCCCUCUGUCAUUGUCAGAAGACUUCCCCUCUCCCUUGAGGCUCUCAAUUACUUUACUGGCUAAACUUUCCAUUUCCAUAAGGGUUUGUGCAUCCCCAGGGUAUGUGUUCGUUUGCAGCUCUCUCCGCCACCACCUCCCUAACAGCUCCUCUGCUGCUACCUUUUCCUCCCCAUUGCUAGUGAUAGAUCACCCUUCCAUAGAUAAUGAAAUACACGCAGGACAAUGUACAACAGGUGUUAUGGAAUACAGCGAGAUAACCAUUCAUAAUACAACCUGCCAUUACAGUAGGCCAAAGAUGAGUCUCAGGCUGCUCCAGGCAGUCUUGGGACUUGCUGUACAAUUGGUUGACCCCUGAGUGGGGAGAAGCACUGUAUCUUCCAUGAGGAUACCCAAAUAAAUAUAACCCAAACAAAAAAUCUAGCAAGCAAUACCAGAAAGGUUAUUCAAAAUAUACAACCUUCUUUCAACUGGUUAGCCAACGUAGUGCUGGACAAUCAGUUAGCCUUAGACUAUCUCCUAGCAAAAUAAAGAGGAAUAUGUGUGAUCACCAAUACCACCUGCUGCACCUGAGUUAAACCGUCUAUGGAGAUAGAAUUUAAAAUAAAGCAAAUAUUCAAACAAGAAGAAUGGUGUCACUCCUUUGUGGUGACCAAGAGCAGCUCUAAGGACAUCUGGAGUGCAAUAAAGAGUGGCCUGUUCAAUCACACUUUGUUCCUCCCCUUCUUGGCCUGCUGGUGAUGAUCCUGUUUUUAUUAAUUUUUGACCCCAGUAAUCAGGUUAAGAAUGAGACUGGAAGCAAUCAAGCUGCAGAUGGUAAUCACCCAGGGAUACGAGCAAUUGGGGUUGCAGCCUAGAGACAAUCAGAUCUACCUCAGAAUAGCAAGGGAAAGGUUUUGCUCCUCUAAUUUAUCAAGUGACAACACCCAGAAACAUCAGGAAGUAGUUCCAAAAGUUGGACCCCUGUCCCUCAGCAGCCCUCAAGAAUGAGGAGAAAAUAAACAGAGGUCAUCUAGGACACCCCUGAUGAAAUAACUGGGAAUGUUCCUUUUUCCUGCUGUUUUUCUUAAGUCCCUUCUUUAUAGGCAAAGCUGCUGAAGGAAACCAGAUGGCUGAGGAUGGUGCCAGAGCAUCUUGACCCCUGACCAGAUACCAGAGAAAGAUGUGAAACUGAAGCAGUCUGGAACAUGCGACCUGAAGUUACCUUCAGGUCAUUAACAUAUCAUUAUAAUGCUAAAAUUCCCGCCCAUAAAAGAGUAUCUCUGCUAUUCUGUGCACAUGUGAUAUAUGAAGACAUAUGUUUAUGAAUUCAGCCUGCACGUCUGGAGUUCCACCCCACACAUGCUAAUAUUCCUUUCAUUCCCCCACAGCUAGUCCUUAAGAACCCCAUGCCUUUUGUUCAUGCAUUUAAAGAAAGAGCUUGCCUUCUCCAGUCUCUGGCCAUCAGAUAAAACCUAAGUGUCUUUUUCAAUUAAAUGUUCCUUCUGUACAACUGAUAAAAAGUAAGGAAAGAGCUCAGUUUACCAGUGAUACCUACAGGUGAAUUCAGAGGAGGCCCUUCAGAUUUUGGCGCAAGUUCUGGCCAUCAUGUGCAGAUAACUACUAUUAUUUUCAUAAGCAGCUCUUGGCUUGUCACUGGGUCUUAACAAAAAUGAAAUGCAUGACUGUGGGCCAUUAAGUUACCAGGCAGCCUCAGCUGCCCAUUAUGAACUGGGCAUUGUCUGUCAUACCAAGACAUAAAGUUGGAUGUGCAGAGCACCAUCAUCACAUGAUAGUAGUAUAUACACGAUUGGGCCCAAGAAGGCCCACCCAGGAGGCACAAAUAAGUUACAUGAAGUGUCCAAAUGCCCAUGGUCUCCACUCCCAUUACACCACCUUCUCUCUAGAAGCCUGUAUCAUGGCCUGAACUACAACCAGUUGAAAGAGAAAGAGAAGACUGGAGACUCACUUACUGAUAGUUCUACACAAUAUGCAAGCAUCACUCAAAACUGCACAGCUGUGGCACUACAGUCCCUAUCUGGGCCACUGCCGAAGUUGAGUAGAAAAGGGAGCUCUCAAUCAGCAGAAUGUUAAGGAGGGCAUAUAGUUGUGCACUUUUCAUAGAAGAAAAUCUGGUCAGAAGUGUAAUUAUACAAUGAUCCAAGGGUGGUAGCCAAUGGUUAGGCCAGAUGGUCAGGGUCUUUAAAAAUAUAUGCUUGAAAAAUUGGUGACAAAGAAAUUUGCAGGAGUGAUACAGGAAUAGACCUAUCUGAGUGGCCAAAAAUUUAAAACAUUUGUGUGCUAUGUGGAUGCUCAGCAAUGGAUGGUCACCUCAGCAGAGGAGGACUCUAACCAUCCAGUGGCUGGGAUAAUGCAUUCUGUCACACUAGUCAGCUUCUGUCCCCAGCCACCCGUGUCGUCAGUCACUGGGCUCAUGAAUAAAGCAGCCACAGUGGUAGGGACUGAGAUUAUGCAUGCACACAGCAACCUGGAAUUCCACUCACCACGGCCAACCAGGUUACAGCCCCCUCUGAGUGCUCAAAGUGUCAGCAACAGAAACACCCACUAAGCCCCUCAUACGGCUCCAUUCCCCAGGAUGAUCUGGCAACUCCCUGGCGGUAGGUUGAUUACCUUGGGCAGCUUUCAUCAAAGAAGCGGCAGCAUUUUGUCCUUCCUUGAAUAGUAAGAUAGUUACUCUUUCCAUAAAUUAUGCUAACCAGCUGACAUCCUGUGUGUCAUAAGGAUUCUUUAGAGAGGCCCUACCAGCAAGAGGCUCUCACCAGAUGUGGCCCCUCAGCCUCGGACUUACCAGCUGAUAUAAAUUAUCAGCAUAUUAUCGUAAGAAAUACAUUUAUUUUCUUUAUAAAUGACCCAAUAUUUUGUAUCCUGUUAUAAGAAAAAAGGGACUAUUAAGAAAAUUGGUAAUAAAAAUAAACGUUAAUUAUUCUGUGAAAACUACCAUCCAUGGACAUACAGAAUACCUUAUCUACCAUCCUGGUAUUUCACACAGCAUCGCUUCUGAACAAGGACCUCACUUCACAGACAAAGAGGGGCAGAAGUGAGCUCAUGCUCAGAAACUUCAAUGAGUUUACCAUGUCGUCUGUAAUCCUGAAGCAACUGUCUCGGUAAAAUUACGGAAUGUCCUUUGGAGGCUUCGGUUCCAGCACUUGCUAGGUGACAGUACUUUAGGAGACUGUUGCAAGGUUCUCUAGAAGGCUAUACAUCCCGUGAAAUCAGCAUCCAUUUAUGGUGCUGUUUCUCCCCAAACGAGAAAUUACACAUAGUUUGGGAAUCAACAGAUUAUAAUGAGAAUGGCCCACCUAGCCACUUUCAAAUCUUCAGGUCCUUGAACCAACAAAGGGAGGUUGCACUGUUGUUUAGGGUAACUGAUCCAGAUUACCAGGGGAAAUUGGACAAGUGCUCCACAGUGGAGGAAGGAAGAGUAUGUCUGGAAUACAGGAGAUCUCCUUGUGUCUUCUGUUUGAAAUAUUUGUCCCCUACCAAAUUCACUUUGAAAUGUAAUCCACAGUGUGGCAGUAUUCAGAGGCAUGGCCUUUAAGAGGUGUUUGAAUCAAUCAUGACUGAUCUGCCCUCAAGGGUGAAUCCAUUCAUUCAUGGAUUCAUAAAUGAACAGGUUAUCAUGUGAGGGCCAAUGGUGGCUUUGUUAAGAGAAAAAGAGACUUGCAUUAGCAUGCUCAGCCCUGCCAGAAAUAGUAAGUUCCUCUUCAAAGCUUCCUUGUUCUUUCUGGCUCUGUACACAGCCUUUUCUGCUUGAUCUGUAACAAGCAUGCUUCUCUGCUUCAUCUUUAACUAGCAAAACUACUACUCUGUAAACAACCCUUCCCUGUGCCCAGACAUGCCUUGUAUUUGUUCUGUGAACCACCCUUCCUGCCUUAGCAACGAACAGCCUCUCCCUUCCUGCUAAUUAACCAUAUUCAAUUUCCAACAGCAGCCAAUCGGGUUAGCUUAGAUUGUGUAGCCCGACUCCAGCCAAUGGGGGAAGGACACAGAAACAGAGAUUGCCUUAGGGAUGAAAACCCCUGCCCUACCCCACUUGGUGUGCUCUUGCUAUUGGACAGACACAGGCAGCACCUUUCUGCAGAAAUAAAAGUGCCUUGCUGAGAACUUUUCUAAGUGCUGGUUUUUCUUAGCAACACCAAGCACUUGUUUCUAACAGCCUUCUAACCAGCUGACAUCCUGUGUGUCAUGAGGAUUCUUUAGAGAGUCCCUACCAGCAAGAAGCUCUCACCAGAUGUGGCCCCUCAGCCUCGGACUUACCAGCUGAUACAAAUAAUCAGCAUAUUAUCAUAAGAAAUACAUUUAUUUUCCUUAUAAAUGACCCAAUAUUUUGUAUCCUGUUAUAAGCAAGAAAAAAGGGACUAAUAAGAAAAUUGGUAAUAAAACAUAGGUUGCUGCUGAAACUCAGUAUCUAAAAAUGUGAAAGUCACUUUCAAACUGGGUUAUGGGCAGAGGCUAAAAGAAUCUUGAGGGGCAGACUAGAAAAAGCUUGUGUUCUUGUGAGGAUUCAGAAGACAAGACGACUGGGAAAUAUUUGGGAGUCCUUAGAGAUUGAUGAAGUGGUUUGGACCAGACUGCUGAUAAAACUAUGGAGACUAAAGGAUAUUGUGACAAGGUUUCAGAUGCAGAUGUUAUAGGAGUUAUUAAGCAAAUACAGAGGAAAAGGGGUCCUUGGAAAGUUUUGUGUCUUUUAAAGCAGCUCCAGAAAAAUUUGUCUAGCAGGAAAACCCUGGCUCUUACAGCCAGGCCUGCAACCUUUGAUAUGCAAAUGCCAGCCAUUAGAAACUGGGUCUACCCAAAGAUGGUGAUUCCCGCCCUCUUCUUCUUUGCCCCCACAUGUGCCUGGCAACAUGGCCACCCCCACAAACCCCCACGUGUGCAGAACAUCAUGGUGCCCUGCAUUUGUAUAUCAAAAGGCUAGGGUGGGAAGAUCAGUUUUUUUGAGGGCUAUCUGAGUGAGUUACCUGGUCAAACCAAUCCCGAGCCCUAUGCAAAUCAGACACCACCUCCUCCAGCCUACUCAUAUAAGCAGCUACUUCUCCUUGGCACAUAGGGUCUCUUCUCUUGGAUUUGGAGCCACCCUCCCUCUGUCUUCUUUAUUUCUUCACCCUUCUUGCUUAUUAAACUCUCCACUCCUUAAAACCACUCCACGUGUCCAUGUCGUCUUACCUAAUUCGGCAUGAGAGAAGAGCCCUAGUGUUCCUCCACUCAUCGGAGCUGUAUCACAACUAAGGAAAAACAAUAUUGGAAACUAAAGAACAUUUCUGUUAAAAAUUGGCAAAUAACUUCGCUGAACUGGGUUCAUGCCAAGGGCUUUGUAAAGACACUGACUUCUGAAUGAAGAGCUAGGUAAUCUGGCAGAAGAAAUGUCUAAGCCACAAAGUGUUAAUGUUACUUCUAAGCUGUGUGUGUGGUUACUUCUAAUUGCUUAAGGUGAACUGCUAGAGGACACACACACACACACAGACACACACAGAAAGAGAGAGAGAGAGAGAGAGAGAGAGAGAGACAGAAAUUCUAAAAAUGUGCAGCCUAGCCAUGUGGUAGAGAAUGAAAGCAUUUUCAGGAGAAAAAUCCAAGGAUGUCGCAGAGCCAUAGCUUGCCAGAAAUUACAAUGGCUAAAGCACAACCAGCUGUUAAUAGUCAAGACAAUGGGAAAGAGGCCCUACAACCAUUUCAGUAACCUUCCAGGCUGCCUCAUCCAUUGCAGGCCCAGAGGCCUAAACGGACAGGGUGGAUUCUGGGGACAGCCUGGGCCACUGCCCUGCACCAUGUUAGCAUGCUGCUCUGCUCAUUCCAGAUGCUUACCAUAAACCCAGGCAGAGUUUAUGUCCCAGAGCUCUGGGAGGUACAAGCCCCAAACCUUGAAGGUGUCCAUGUGGUGCUAAUAACGUAGGCUUUCAGAAAUGAAGAAAUGUAGAGGCUUGGCGGUCUCUACACAUUUCAAAGGAUUUCUCUGAAAGCCUGGGAGUCCAAAAACACACUCGUCACAGGGCCAGAUCCAACGCAGAGGGCCUCAAAUAGAGGGAUGCCAAACACAAAUGUGGGGUUAGAGCUGCUGCAAGGAGUUCCCACCAGGGCAAUGCCAAGUGAAGCCACAGCACUGAAGUCACUGCAGAGAGUUCCACAUGGGUAAUGCCUAGUGGAGCUGAGGAAGUGGUACCACUACCGGGACCCCCCAGAAAUGUGCAGUUACCUACAGCAUGCAGUGUCUGCCCAGGAAAACUUCAUAAACCUGACUGCAAACUGUACAAGCACCCAGGAGAAUGUACCAAGCAAAGCCAUAGCAGUGAUAGUACCUGAGGGCCUGUGAGUCCAACCUUUAUCCCAGUGGGUUCAGGAGUCAAAGACAGAGUCAAAAAAAUAUUCCCCAGCUUUAAGAUGUAAUCGUUGCCCUGCUGGAUUUUGAAUUUGCUUUAGGACUGUUGCUUUCUUUCUUUUUGUCCAUUUCUCUCUUUUCGAAAGGGAAUGUGUACAUUAUGCUUAUUCUGAAACUGCCUUUGCAAAAACGCUAACAGUGAGAAAAUUAUGACAGUGAAAGAGAGAUGACCUAAGUGACUCCAUCUUGCCUUUAACCUCUAAGCUGCCCUUGUUCAUUCCCGGGCAAAGGCCAAACUAACUUUGGGAGGAAUUUAGUUUUUAGCUUAACUCUGAAACAAGGAUGGCAAGAGAAGCUCCCUGAAAUAAAUCCCCUCAUUGUUUGGGGACUAGACCACCCCUGCAACACAACAAAAUAACCACAAGAUUAAAAAGUAUGACUCAGGAGUCAUAAAGCCAAAGGCCACAAGAUUAUUAACCUCCCCAGCUGCUCCUAUAGAUAAUCUAUUAAUACAGUAAAACCUAAGAUUGGUUUUUGAGGGAUUUUCCAGACCCUGUAUUGGGGAAGCUGAUGCUUCCCCAAACAGUAACCUGGCUCAUCUGGACUUGUGGCCCCCACCCAGGAACUGAGUCAAUGCAAGAGGACAGCUUCUGCGUUCUGUAAUUUCAUCUCUGACCCAAAUAAUCAAAAUUCCCCAAUCUCCAGCCUCCCACAUGCCAAAUUAUUUAUUAAAAAAAUCCUAACCCCAGAUUUUGUGGGGAGCUUGUUUUGAGUAAUAAUAUAAUUCUUGUCUUUUGCUUACCUGGCUCUACAAGUAUUAAACUCUUUAUAGCAAUUCCCCCUCUUGAUAAAUUGGCUCCAUCUCAGCAUCAGCCAAGAUGACCCCAUCAGGCCAUGGCAAACUUAGGAGCUUGUAGGGGUGUACCCCUUGUGUGUAACAUCCUCUCACUAGUGGCAAAUCCAGAGAACAGCCCAAUUCUCUGCCUAGUUCUCUCCAAAUAAAGGCUGUCUCUGGCACUGUAUCUACUACCAGCGGGGUGCUACUUAUCCACAGUGUUAUGGAUCUAAUUGGAAGAGAGAAGUAAUUCCUGGAUGACAAAAGUUACCCUGGUUUGGUGAGUGUUGCGCUUCUCCUGAUCUGGAGAGUGCACUGCAGCUCUAUCAUGGGAACUGUCCAGCUCUCCCAAGACUGUCGGAAUAUGCUCUGUUGGCCUCAAAGGUACUGUAGACCCAUCAUAGGGUCUGCCUGUCUGUCCCUGAAUUGUAGUAAGAGUCUUGGUUUGAGGAGAUUUAUCUCCAAUUGGAAGGGAAUAGGGGACACGUUUGGAGGAAUACUCUUCUGGUUUGAAUUUGAUCCGAAAUUUCGGUUUGAAAGGCCUUCUAUAUUUCAUCGAGUAAGUUUGCAUGUAUGGAGAUCUCUGAAGAAAUUGCUGAUGGAAUUACUGCAGGCUUUCCUAGUUCGUCUGAUCAUUCGUCUUCACAGUGAGCCUUAAAGAACUGUUGGCAGGAGCUGAACAGGUCUAACUGAGGGUGACCAUUCACCCUUCCACGUUACCUGGGGAGCACCCCACUGAAACUACUUUUCAAAGGUCAUCUCUCCCUGUCUUGAAUGGAUCGAAGAUGACAGGGGCCAAUGGCCACAAGGUAAAGCUUUGUCAAAUGAACACUUUGGUGGUGAGUGGAGUGAUUAGUAUCUGUAUUUUGUCACAUGCAUUUUGUUCUGGCCAAAAUGAGAAGUGUUUAUUUGGUCCCACUGCAGCCCACUGGGUGACAUCUUGCUAAAUUCUGUAACACCGCUUGGCCCCCACAGAUACGGUACAGAAAACAGGGUCAUCAAAAGUUGCUCCAUUCUCCUGGAAGCUGCAGACAAAGGGAACUUGGAAAACUGGCAAGCUGGUAAUAAAGUAAAAAUUCCUUACCAGCCAAGCCCUCUCUACAAAACCAGUUGAAUGAAUUGUCAAAGUCACAGUUUGUCUCCUCUGCAAGUCUGGAUUAGAAGGAAAAAAAGAUCUGUGUGACUAAGCUUUUUGAAACCUUUCUGUUGUCAAUCUGUCAGAGAGAGGAGUACCGCAGAAUAGAAUGUAGGCCUAAGACCCCUAAAAGCUUCACCUUUGAGCUGGCCCUACAGACUCGUUAGUUACAAACUUUGUUGCAGGUUCCUGAAAAAAAAAAAAAAAAAAGUGACAUUUUCCUCUUCUCUUGUUUUCUGUCCUUGAGAACUUGACUUUGUAACCAUGUGAGAGUACUGUCCCUUUUCCUCCCACAUAUGGAGGGUUGGAAUUUUUUCAUUCAUGUCAGGCAGCCAGUCUGAAAGAACACAUAAUCAAGUCACGGCUUCCCUGUCUGUUUAUCGAUAUGCUUCACUUUCUGGAUGCAAGUCCACUGAGCCAGUGUACACCUUAAAGAAACCCUCCUGAACCCCUUUGGUCUCUCUGGUUCUCCGACUUUCCCACUACACUAAUGCAAAGCGAGAGAGAAGAGACAGAUGUGGUCAGUCUCAUGCUAUCUUUAUUGGGUCUUGUUUGGAGAGAGGAGUCUCCCCUUUCUAUCAGGAUGACCAGAUUUUCUUGUUGACUGUGUCUUUAACAACGGCUGAUCUCAUCAGGCGUGGUGGCUCAUGCCUGUAAACCCAGCACUCUGGAGGCCAAGUAUGGAGGAUUCCCUGAGCCCAGGAGUUUGAGACCAGCCUCAGAAAAAUAGUAAGACCUCGUCCCUACAAAUAAGUAUAAAAAUUAGCUGGGUGUCACCAGGCGCGGUGGCUCAUGCUUGUAAUCCCAGCACUUGGGGGGCUGAAGC